rnacentral:rRNA from 1 species
AGAGAGAGACAUGCGCGCAUAUCAAUAAGCGGAGGAAAAGAAACUAACAAGGAUUCCCUUAGUAACGGCGAGUGAAGCGGGAAGAGCUCAAAUUUGAAAUCUUCAAGGUUUUACCUUGACGAAUUGUAGUUUAAAGGAAGUGUUUUCUGCUGAAGUUUUGGUAAAAGUUCUUUGGAAUAGGACAUCAUAGAGGGUGAGAAUCCCGUAUUUGACCAUUAUUUUCAGCUUUGUGAUACACUUUCAAAGAGUCGGAUUGUUUGGGAAUGCAGUCCAAAAUGGGUGGUAAAUUUCAUCUAAAGCUAAAUAUUGGCGAGAGACCGAUAGCGAACAAGUACCGUGAGGGAAAGAUGAAAAGAACUUUGAAAAGAGAGUUAAACAGUACGUGAAAUUGUCAAAAGGGAAGCGUUUGACACCAGUGUUGUUUUCUCGAAAAUCAAUUAAAAAUGGCUCGAUUUUGUAUUGUUGAGACCUUAAAAGCUCACUGUACAUUUUUCGUGUCUUUUUUAAUGCACUUUUCGUUUAACAAGUCGACAUCAGUUUCUUUUGUUGUAAAAGGGUCAUUGGAAGGUGGCUUUCUUUUCGGAGAAAGUGUUUAUAGCCUUUGACCUCUGCAAUCGGAGAGACUGAGGUCUGCAGCGUAGACUCUUCGGGGUUAGAUACAUUUGUGCUAAGUUAUAGCUUUUUAUAGACAACUUGUUGACUAUAAUUAGUCUUGUAGCUUACUCGCUUAUGCUAUUUUACCUACGCUUAGGAUGUUGAAGUCAUCGUAUCGCGC